CUACGGGAGGCAGCAGUGGGGAAUAUUGGGCAAUGGAGGCAACUCUGACCCAGCCAUGCCGCGUGGGUGACGAAGGUCUUCGGAUUGUAAAGCCCUUUCGGCGGGGACGAUGAUGACGGUACCCGCAGAAGAAGCCCCGGCUAACUUCGUGCCAGCAGCCGCGGUAAUACGAAGGGGGCUAGCGUUGUUCGGAAUUACUGGGCGUAAAGGGCGUGUAGGCGGCCCGUUAAGACAGGUGUGAAAUUCCUGGGCUCAACCCAGGACGUGCGCCUGUGACUGGCGGGCUUGAGUCCGGGAGAGGAUGGUGGAACUCCCAGUGUAGAGGUGAAAUUCGUAGAUAUUGGGAAGAACACCCGUGGCGAAGGCGGCCAUCUGGACCGGUACUGACGCUAAGGCGCGACAGCGUGGGGAGCAAACAGGAUUAGAUACCCUGGU
rnacentral:rRNA from 1 species